UACGUAGGGACCAAGCGUUGUUCGGAUUUACUGGGCGUAAAGGGCGCGUAGGCGGCUUAACAAGUCACUUGUGAAAUCUCCGGGCUUAACUCGGAACGGCCAAGUGAAACUGUCAAGCUAGAGUGCAGAAGGGGCAAUCGGAAUUCUUGGUGUAGCGGUGAAAUGACGCAGAUAUCAGGAGGAACACCUAUGGCGAAGGCAGCUCGCUGGGACGGUAUUGACGCUGAGACGCGAAAGCGUGGGGAGCGAACAGG
rnacentral:rRNA from 1 species